UAAGAGAGUUGGCGGUAUUUUAGUCAUCAGAGGAACCUGUCCUAUAAUUGAUGAUCCACGAGUUUUAUUACUUAAUUUAAAGGUUUGCAUAUCGCCGUAGAUUGAAUAUUUUUGAAAAAAGGGAAUGUUCAAUAUUUUUUUAAGAAAAGAAUUCAGGUCAAGAUGUAGUGUAUGAUUAAGAAGAGAUGGGUUACAAUAAAUAUAUUUAUAACGGAUUAGUAAAUUAAAAUUAUUAUAAAGGAGGAUUUGAAAGUAAUUUUGUUUAGAUAAAUAAAAUGAUUAUAGCUCUAAAAUAUGCACAUAUCGCCCGUCGCUUUCACUACAAAGUGAAAUAAGUCGUAACAUAGUAGGUGUACCGGAAGGUGUGCCUAGAAAGAACAAAUAAGAGCUUGAUAAAGCAUUUUAGUUACAUUAAAAAGUUUAUUGUAAAAUCGAUAUUAUUUGAAUUUAAAAGGUUAUUUUUUAGAAAAAAUAAAGAUUUUUUAAUAAAAAGAGUUAUUUUUUUAUUAUUUAUUUAGAAAAAAUUUAGUUUAUUAUAGGGUAUUAGUAUUGUAGAAGAAUUUUAUAUAAAUGUGUAAAAGAAGAAUUAAUUUUUUGUACCUUGGGUAUCAGGGUUAAUUAAUUAAUAAUUAAAAAUUUAAUUUUCUCGAAUUAAUAAGAGUUAUAAUUAUAUAAAAUAUUUUGUUGAAUAAAGAUGGUUAAUAUAAUUGUAGAAGUGAAACGCUAUUCGAUUAUUAAUAUAUCUAGUUUUUAAAGAAAAAAAUUUAAUUUUUUUGUUAAAUAAGCUUUAAUUUAAUUAUUUAAAUUUUAGUUUUUAAUAUAUUAUAUUUUAAGGGAUAAGCUUUAAAAUAGAGGUUUUAAAAUAAUUAAGUAUGUAAAAUAAAGUAGGAUUGAAAGUUUUUAUCUUUAAAAGUGUGUUGUAACUUUUUUCUUUUUUUUAUUAUUUAUAUUAUUUAUUUGAAAUUUUUUAUUUAAAAGAAAAUUUUUAUUUUAAAUGUUUUUUUAUAAUGAUUGGAUUAGUAUAAUGUUUUGUUAAGAAUGUUUAGCAGUUAAGGUUAAUUGAAGGAAUUCGGCAAACAUAUUUUUCACCUGUUUAUUAAAAACAUGGCCUUUUGAUUAUAAUUUAAGGUCUCACCUGCCCUAUGAGUAUUUAAAUGGCCGCGGUAUUUUGACCGUGCAAAGGUAGCAUAAUCAAUAGUUUUUUAAUUGAAAGCUGGAAUGAAAGGUUGAAUGGAAAAAUAGCUGUCUCUGGUUAAAUUUUUUAGAAUUUUAUUUUUAAGUAAAAAAGCUUAAAUAAAAAUAAAAGACGAGAAGACCCUAUAGAGUUUAAUUGAUUUAUUUAUUAAGAAUUUUAGUUUUAAU
rnacentral:rRNA from 1 species